rnacentral:rRNA from 1 species
UACGAAGGGUGCAAACGUUGCUCGGAAUUAUUGGGCGUAAAGCGCACGUAGGCGGCUUUGCAAGUCGGAUGUGAAAUCCCUCGGCUCAACCGGGGAACUGCGUCUGAUACUGGAUGGCUUGAAUCCGGGAGAGGGAUGCGGAAUUCCAGGUGUAGCGGUGAAAUGCGUAGAUAUCUGGAGGAACACCGGUGGCGAAGGCGGCAUCCUGGACCGGUAUUGACGCUGAGGAGCGAAAGCCAGGGGAGCAAAGCGGG